CAGCCUUCGGGGGUACUACUGACGCUGAGGCUCGAAAGUGCGGGAAUCAAACAGGAUUAGAUACCCUGGUAGUCCGCACCGUAAACGAUGGACACUCGUGGUUGGCCCUUGUGGUCAGUCACCCAGCGAAAGCGUUAAGUGUCCCACCUGGGGAGUACGCCGGCAACGGUGAAACUCAAAGGAAUUGACGGGGGCCCGCACAAGCGGAGGAACAUGUGGUUUAAUUCGAUGAUACGCGAGGAACCUUACCCGGGCUUGAAUUGCAUGGGGCGUGGUCAGAGACGGCCAUUUCUUCGGACCCAUGUGAAGGUGCUGCAUGGUUGUCGUCAGCUCGUGCCGUGAGGUGUCGGCUUAAGUGCCAUAACGAGCGCAACCCUUCUCUUCGGUUGCCAUCGGGUAAUGCCGGGCACUCCGGAGACACUGCCAUCGCAAGAUGUGAGGAAGGUGGGGAUGACGUCAAAUCAGCACGGCCCUUACGUCCGGGGCUACACACGUGUUACAAUGGGAGGUACAGAAGGCCGCUACCUGGUGACAGGAUGCCAAUCCCGAAAGCCUCUCCCAGUUCGGAUCGGAGUCUGCAACCCGACUCCGUGAAGCUGGA
rnacentral:rRNA from 1 species